GGAGUUAGCCGGUGCUUCUUCUGCGAGUAACGUCACAGAUGUAAGGUAUUAACUUACACCCUUUCCUCCUCGCUGAAAGUGCUUUACAACCCGAAGGCCUUCUUCACACACGCGGCAUGGCUGCAUCAGGGUUUCCCCCAUUGUGCAAUAUUCCCCACCUGCUGCCUCCCGUAGGAGUCUGGGCCGUGUCUCAGUCCCAGUGUGGCUGAUCAUCCUCUCAGACCAGCUAGGGAUCGUCGCCUAGGUGAGCCUUUACCUCACCUACUAGCUAAUCCCACCUGGGCUUAUCCAUCAGCGCAAGGCCCGAAGGUCCCCUGCUUUCCCCCGUAGGGCGUAUGCGGUAUUAGCAGUCGUUUCCAACUGUUAUCCCCCACAAAUGGGCAAAUUCCCAGGCAUUACUCACCCGUCCGCCGCUCGUCAUCUUCAAAAGCAAGCUUUUGAAAUGUUACCGCUCGACUUGCAUGUGUUAGGCCUGCCGCCAGCGUUCAAUCUGAACCAAGAUCAAAUUCUGA
rnacentral:rRNA from 1 species